rnacentral:rRNA from 1 species
UUGGAGGGCAAGUCUGGUGCCAGCAGCCGCGGUAAUUCCAGCUCCAAUAGCGUAUAUUAAAGUUGUUGCAGUUAAAAAGCUCGUAGUUGAAUUUCGGGGUCAGUAGAUUGGUCAUGCCACUGGUAUGUACUGGUCUCACUGAUUCCUCCUUCCUGAUGAGCCGUAAUGCCAUUAAUUUGGUGUUGCGAGGAAUCUGGACUGUUACUUUGAAAAAAUUAGGGUGUUUAAGGCAGGCUAACGCUUGAAUACAUUAGCACGGAAUAAUGAAAUAGGACGUUCGAUCUUAUUUUGUUGGUUUCUAAGAUUGACGUAAUGAUUAAUAGGGAUAGUUGGGGGCAUUAGUAUUCAAUUGUCAGAGGUGAAAUUCUUGGAUUUAUUGAAGACUAACUACUGCGAAAGCAUUUGCCAAGGAUGUUUUCAUUAAUCAAGAACGAAAGUUAGGGGAUCGAAGACGAUCAGACACCGUCGUAGUCUUAACCAUAAACUAUGCCGACUAGGGAUCGGAUGAUGUAAUUUUUUAAUGACUCAUUCGGCGCCUUACGGGAAAC